rnacentral:lncRNA from 10 species
GAGUGGCCUGCCCAAUCACUGACUGGUGUGACCCUGCCUGGCCCAGCGCUGGGGGAGCUAAGAAAGCCAGCCUCCCUCAGCCCUGAAUGCUGAAAACCUGGGACCAUGGGGUCACCCAUUUGACAGCGCAGUGGCCUGGGCACAUCUGUGCACUCAGCCAUGUGGGAGCAGAGAUCCCUGACAGAUGACACCUAAGGACAAAGUCACACAUGUACACGGUUCCGGGUACGUGGUCCCCGAGGCCCAUCCAGCACACCAAGAACCUUAGCCCCAACACCAAUGGGCUCCCGGCACACACAUACCACCCUGCACAGCACCCUGGCACCGAACUACUUCCCCAGCACAGCAUCGGCCCAGCGGGAACAUCCCUCCCGCCAUGAACUUGAGCCUCCCUGCCCACGCUAAGGAGCCAGACAAGUGUCUGGGCUGUACCUUCCGCUCUCUGCGUGUCCAGCUGCUCAGGCCUCCUCGGGAAUGGGAGAGAAACCCGGCUCUGCCCAGCAGCCAAGACUUCUUUCCUCUUUAUCCAGGCUGCCCAAAGGUGAUAGGAGAGUGGAUUCAGGACCCAAGCCUCCUCUAGCUCACAAACCUACCCACCUGAGGAAGAUCAGUGACCAGAAGCCGGCCAGACACGGGAAGUCCGCGAAGCUUACCUAAAUAGAGACCCAGCCGGGGGAAACCAAAUGGUGUUCUUGGUGGGGAAGAGGCAAACAGUCCGCACUGCAACACCCGCGUGGUGUCAAGUAACAGUCAGAUUAAACAAACAGCCUCAGCUGCUAUUUUUACUUCCAAAUCAGCCACGAGUAACAGAUCACUUGGGGAGUGAGAAAUUGCUUGCCGCUUAGCCGGACCCUAACCACGAUUCCAACUUCAAUCCAGAAUGAUUGCUAAAGCUAUUCCAGCACCUAGAGUCAAAUAAAAAUAUCCCGAGGUGGGAAGGAAAACAUUUGUUUAGGGAAACAUUAAAAACAGGAGAGUGUGUGCCUUGGAGCCAGAGCCCAGAGCCCUGCUGAUGUCCCGGGGCAGAAAUAGCCCGUUUCAUCAUCGGCUCUGGACGACCGCCGCCCGCAUUCCUCGAUUACAGCGGGUAUCCUGAUGCAGACCAUCCCCAGCCAGAAACACAGCCGCAGAACUGAGCCCAAGCUCCAGACCAAAAACUGAGCCCAAGCUCAGGGUCUGCAUGGCCCAGAGCUGGCAUCUGUCCGGGGGACUGGCCCAGGCAAAGUGACCACUGUCAUCCAGUCCAGGAGCUGUGAGCUGCAUGGAAAGAAUGUGAAUGAAGACACAACUCUAAAUGUGGAACCAUGGACGCUAUGUGAGCCAGUGUGCUCCCUAGCCGUCCAGAAAAACAAGGCCCACUUGUACAUUCUGCAAGAGCAUAAAUAAAGCUGUCCUCAGGCGGCGUGCUGUGGUGGCCCAUCCUUGCAGUGGCUUCACUGGCUGCACCCCUCAGCAAGGCCUCUGGAACACUGUGAGGGCAGCACACCCACCCAACAGCGUGGGUAAAAAACGGUCUAGCUAUGGCCUUGCCGCACGUGGUGAUCGCUAACUUAAUUUUGCAGCAAAUUUAAUCUGCUCUGUAUUGGUAUUAAUUAGAAAUGUUCAAAAGCUGGUAAUAAGGGCAGUGCAGAAUGGGUCCUUCAGGCCAAUUUCUGGUUCUGGGUAUUUGAAGCUCAUAUCCCUGCAAAUAACAGGAAGCCACUCACCUGAUUCUUUUAACUUUGCGUCCUGGUUAUAUGUGACUUCCUGUCGGGGAACGUUUCUUCAUUAUCACCCAGCUUUCCUUUAGGAGUCAUUUCUGUAAAGUUCUUCAGGACGGUGGUACAUUUCCAUGGCUUAAUAAUAAUAAUAGCAAGUGAAAAUGCUAGCCAGCAAACAUAGAAUGCUUACUUUGUGUGCCACAUGGUUCUAAGUCCUCACAUCAAUUAACCCACACCCUAUACACCCCUGAUCAUAGGUCCCUGCAUGAUUUUUUCCCAUCCCCAUGAAUCACUAUCCAUUGGGGAGCUAGGGAAGGAUGAGAUAUGGAGAAGUGAUAUUUCCUGAGCACUCAUUAUGUGCCAGGAAAACACUUUCUGUGCUUUGUUCCACAAAAUACUUAGUCUCCCUGUAAGAUGGCAGCUAAUGUUUCCUUUUUAAGGAUGAGGAAACUGAGGCUUGCAGAGGUCCCAGGAUGCCACAGCUAAUAGCAGCACAGAAGAUGCAGACGAGGGCUCACCUUCCCACCUAUCCAGUUAGUACUCUCCCAGCCCAAGUGCAGGACACAGCCAGCUGUUCUCCUUGCCUCUCCCUGCAGAGAGGGCAAUGCCUGCAGGGCACCUCCUUAGCUACCGAUUUGUUAUGGGGAUUCUGUGCCCACUGUGAGCACAGCAUGAGUGUAUUUCCAAGCCUGAUGGCAAGAUGGUGCCUCACUGGAGGAGCCCUCACUUCAGGGGCUUAGGCCCAGCUGGGCUGGCUGCCUGCUGAGGGGCCUGAGCCGGAGGACCUCUCUUGCAGGAGCACUAGGUUGGUGAGGUGUUGCCUGCUAAUGUGUAGCUCAGAGGGGCUAGAGUUAUGGGGGCAGGGCCCUGUUUGUAGCUCAGAGCUUGAAAGAGCCCAAGUUGCCGAGGCCCCUUCUAUAGGGCUGCCCUUCUCCCUAUCUGACCAGCCUGGUGCUGGGAUGGCGAUAGUCACAUUCAACUGAGGGUCACCUUGGCUGAGGCCUCUCCUCAAGGCAGUUCCUUUAGGAUUCUUUGUUUAGGACUUUACGAUGGAAGACUUAGACAUAAGAAACAGAAUCUGUGAAGGAAAUCCAGUUUAUUAAAGUGCUACCAAGUCUCACAACAAAGCCAUGGCAACCAGCUGGGAGGUCGGCUUCCUGGUGGAUCUGGGUGUAGUUGCUCCUCUCUCCACACUCAGAGAGAUCUGGAAGCCCAGCGUUAAGAGGAGCUACUCCCUAGAGGACGGGUUGACAAACUUUUUCUGCAAAAGGCCAGAUGGUAAAUAUUUUCAGCUUUGCAGGCCAGUGGGUCUUUGUCAAAAGAGCUCAGUUAGGCCAUGGUAGCAUGAAAGCAAUUAGAGACACUCUACACAAAUAGGAGUGACUAACACGGUAAAUAAAACUUCAGUUUCAGAGUUUAAAAGAAGAAAGUUGAUUUUCAUACAAUUCCAUGUAUUACAAAUAUUCUUAUUUUGACAUUUUCCCUCCAAUUAUUGAAGUGUGUACAACCACUCUUAGCUCACAGGGCUGUCCAGAACAGACAGCACAGGGAUUUGGCUCAUGGACAGUUUGCCGACCUCUGCCCUAGAGCCACUUUGUCCACUUGAGUGGCCACCAACCCUAUGUGGCUAAUGAGCACUUGAAACAUGGCUGGUCUGAACCAAGAUGUUCUGUGAGUGUAAAAUGCACACUGGAUUUCCUUAGUACAAAGAAAACCUUGGAAAAUAUCUCAACAAUAUUCUGUAUUGAUUACAUGUUGACAUGACAAUACCUUGGACAUUCUGGGUUUAAUAAAAUAUAUUGUUAAAAUUUACU